rnacentral:rRNA from 1 species
CGCGGCCUAUCAGCUUGUUGGCGGGGUAACGGCCCACCAAGGCACGACGGGUAGCUGGUUUGAGAGAACGAUCAGCCACACUGGAACUGAGACACGGUCCAGACUUCUACGGAAGGCAGCAGUAGGGAAUCUUGCGCAAUGGGGGAAACCCUGACGCAGCGACGCCGCGUGCGGGAUGACGGCCCUAGUGGUUGUAAACCGCUUUCAGCAGGGACGAAAAUGACGGUACCUGCAGAAGAAGUCCCGGCUAACUACGUGCCAGCAGCCGCGGUAAUACGUAGGGGACAAGCGUUGUCCGGAUUCAUUGGGCGUAAAGAGCUCGUAGGCGGUUCAGUAAGUUGGGUGUGAAAGCUCCGGGCUCAACCCGGAGAGGCCACUCAAUACUGCUGUGACUAGAGUCCAGUAGAGGAGCGUGGAACUCCUGGUGUAGCGGUGAAAUGCGCAGAUAUCAGGAAGAACACCGGCAGCGAAGGCGGCGCUCUGGGCUGGUACUGACGCUGAGGAGCGAAAGCAUGGGUAGCAAACAGGAUUAGAUACCCUGGUAGUCCAUGCCGUAAACGUUGGGCACUAGGUGUGGGAGGGAAUCAACCCCUUCCGUGCCGUAGCUAACGCAUUAAGUGCCCCGCCUGGGGAGUACGG